GCCAAUUAAGCCACUUUUCUUACAAAUUACCCAGCCUUGGGUAUUACUCUACAGCCAUGCGAGAAUGGCCUAACACAGGUGGUAAGAGAAGUCCGUGUGGGGGUGUCGGGAGGCUGGGAACAGCGGCACCCCUGGAUGGUUCGAUGGGCCGGUGCGUCCUGGGAGGUCCUGAGCCAUCUGACUAUGGAGUCAGUGAUGGAAACCACGGGGGAAAGGAAAGGUCAGAGUGAGCCCGCAGAAGGGAGAGCCUCUUCAUGACAGGUCCGUGAGGUGAUUCGGACGCACAAGGGUAGGACACGGGAUUCUCUUCAGUGAAAACUACUUUGUGAGGCCUUAACGCCAUUUCUCUGGUACAGAUGGGGGUCUGAGGAACCAAGUGCUCCGCCUGAACAAGGACGACCUGGAGAGGUCUGUUGCCUGAAUGAGAGUCACUGAGUUUACACUGCAGGAGAGCAGCUCCCAAGACCAAGGCCCUGCGAUUCCCAGAGGCCGUCGGACUGCCGCAUCCCUUGGCGUGAACGGUGGGCGUGGAGAAGGACCCAGAGUCUGGAGCCUACAUCCUGGAGGACUGUGGCCCUGAACUUUGGUUAAACACAAACAAGCCCCAAGAAAAGGGAAAGCGAAAACCAGAGGCACUGGAGGAAUCACAACAAAAAGCACCUUGAGAAGCACCUACAAGACAGCAGCGCAGCGUGGCCAGCUCCCUGCCUCAAGCACCAGGCAGGCUAACCCAGGUUCCGAGAGGGGGCAGGUCAACACUGGAUAAAAUAAACUCCAGGAGGCCGGG
rnacentral:lncRNA from 1 species